rfam:Ictidomys tridecemlineatus contig030877, whole genome shotgun sequence.
GGGGAUGUGGCUCAAGCGGUAGCGUGCUCGCCUAGCAUGCGUGCGGCCCGGGUUCGAUCCCCAGCAGCACCA